rnacentral:rRNA from 1 species
UCGGGAAUUUUGCUCAAUGGGCGCAAGCCUGAAGCAGCAACGCCGCGUGAGGGAUGAAGGCCUUCGGGUUGUAAACCUCUUUUCUCAGGGACGAUGAUGACGGUACCUGAGGAAUAAGUCACGGCUAACUACGUGCCAGCAGCCGCGGUAAUACGUAGGUGACCAGCGUUGUCCGGAUUUACUGGGCGUAAAGAGCGCGCAGGCGGUCGUUCAAGUCGAGUGUGAAAGCCCCCGGCUCAACUGGGGAGGGUCACUCGAUACUGAUCGAAUUGAAGGCAGGAGAGGGAAGCGGAAUUCCCGGUGUAGUGGUGAAAUGCGUAGAUAUCGGGAGGUACACCAGUGGCGAAGGCGGCUUCCUGGCCUGUUCUUGACGCUGAGGCGCGAAAGCGUGGGGAGCAAACA